AUUACAAGGAAUUGUUAUAUUUUGGAUGUUGCAUGUGAUCGGAUCCAUUCCUCUUUGGAAAGGACUCCUGAGUUGGAGAGGGCUUCUUAGAGGCACAGUGGCACAGAAUAUCUCUGUUGCAGCAGUCAAAGUUUAGCCGAUGGAGUUUUUUUCCUUAGUGCCAUUUACUUCCUUUUCUUCAGAAACCAGUGCUGAUAUUCCAGGAAUGCAGUUGCUGCGUGUGGGACAGACCACCUGCCACUCAGGAUUUGGCUCCUCAGCUUAUGAUGGAGAGCAGAUCCUUGAAGUACUCAACUAAACAAUGAGACAACUCAACAACAAAACAAUGAGAGAAAUGAAUAACCAGUAGCAACUGGGCACCAAGAAAAGGCAAGUACCCAACUUAUUGCAGGAGUACAGACUGUUUAUUUAUAACAUCUG
rnacentral:lncRNA from 1 species